rnacentral:lncRNA from 1 species
GUGGAGGUCUGCGCUCUGGUUUCUGUGCGCCUGGGCACUGCCCUGUGGAGGUCUGCGCUCUGGUUUCUGUGAGCCUGGGCACUGCCCUGUGGAGGUCUGCGCUCUGGUUUCUGUGCGCCUGGGCACUGCCCUGUGGAGGUCUGCUCUCUGGUUUCUGUGCGCCUGGGCACUGCCCUGUGGAGGUCUGCACUCUGGUUUCCAGGAUGGGAUCCCCUAGCUCUGCCCUGACUCCUGCCUGGUGUGAGGUCAGCAGUACGCUUGCUGCCUUGAGGGUAAGCACAGAUACCAGCUGGAGAAGCGUCCUGAGCUCUCUGAGUCUUUGAGCUACUCACAUCUUCAACAGACAUCACUUACUGACUUUUGCAAGAAGAGAAUGGAUGAGACCCCUCUUCUACCCUGGACGGCUUCCUUUUCUAACUAAGUUCCUCCCAAGCCCUGCUCCUUGUUCAUUGUAAUUAACAUUAAUUAAUUAAUUAAUCUCUUCCACAGGUGUCCACAAAUUCUGAAGCCCUCAAACAUGGAAAUAGCCCAGAUGUCCAGCAGUGGAUGAAUAGACAGACCAGAGUCACUGUAUCCAUAUGGGAAACAUUUGUCAGCUUGAGAAUGAAGCGACAUUCCCAGGUGCCCUGUACUGUGGACACACCUUGAGGAUAUUAUAAGACAGACUGAAAAGGUAGAUUUUGGGACUAUGGAUAUAGCUCAGUAUAUUUGUGUGACAUGAAUAAAGCCAUGGGU